rnacentral:sRNA from 1 species
UGUAACUCGAAAUCUUCUUUUAUGUCCUCUCCAACAAAAUUGGAAUUGAAAAAACACCGAAUCUCCUUCUUUUACCCAAUUUAGAUUUUCUUCCAUACUUUCACUGAAAAAGAAAGCUGAAGUAUGAGUUGGAGGUAUCAUUGUUUAGGACGGACUUUGUCUUUGAUGUGUGUUAGGAGUAUUUCAUGGAGCAAAAUAGCUGGCUUUGUACAGAUUGGAUUCUUCAGAAACUUGCCUCUGGAUUCAAGUUAACCUUGUUCUAUGUACUAAAGUGAUGAUGGAAUGUAUACAUGGUGUGUUAAUCUGCGUAUAGAAUCUGUCAAUUAUGGCAACUUCACGCAUGGGCUGAUGCAGAAGAAUAUCCAACUUAGCAGAAAGGUUCUGUCAGAGUUAUCUGUGCACGAACCCUGUAGCUUCAAAACUUUGGUAGAUCUAGCACAUUUCCAGGAAACAAGAAUGUAGUGAUUCCGCCAAGAAAGGUUGCCUUCUAGGGACGUGGCACUUUAGCAAACAUUUAGUGGUAGUUUAAGUUAGAACCCUUAGCAAAUUUUAGCAAACAGUAAAUUUUAUUUUAAAAGACAUGCUUCUUUUGUAGUGCUAAGUUUCUGCGGUUUUCAUUACAAACAUACACGUGUGAUCAUUCACUGCCCAAGACUAUUACGAAUCUCCUUGCUGAAAAGGAACCGUGAGACUUUUGAGUAGUAAUCUUGUUUUAGUGCUUGGUGGGGUUAGUAGUUAACCCAAAUCCAAAUGGAAAUAGAGGAUCAUAAUUUUUAUCACCAACAUUCAUUGGAAGUUGGUUAACUGUCUUGAACCAUGUUCUUGCAAGCUUGCCGGUGAAUCCAUAAUCACCAAAUAGAAGAUCAGCGACACCUUGGCCUUCAGUUCCUGGAAGCCAUGCAGCCACAAGAGCGUCUAUUUUUGAUAGAUAAGGCUGAAUCACUACUGGACGACCAGUGAUGAGAACUACCACGCAUUGGAUAGAUUUACAUACAUUGGUAAUGGUGCUUGGACCUGGCUCAGGUAUAGUUAGAUUCGAGCUAUCACCAAAUGUUUCUGCAUAAGGGGGUUCCCCUACAAUGACUAUGGCAUAAGAAAAGUUGUUGGACUUGACAAAGGUGGGAUCGGGACUUUCCUUGAAGAAAACAUCAGUAGCAGGAUCGAUUGUUUGUUUUACAGCAUCAAGAAUUGUUGUACCUGUUAGGAAAAUGAUAGUUUUUGUCAGAUAAACCGUAACUAUCCCACAACAAAAAUACCAUAAUCA